CUUACCGUGGUGGGAUGGUACACACUAUUUGGCCAAAUGGUAUGCUAAGAACCUGCAUGUUAUACCUUGAGCAGCUGAAACAGUCUAACCACAGCCACCAUCAGCCCUUGGCAGCUGUUUUUGAUGAGGUUACCUUAUCAUGGUAGGAUAGUACACACUAUUUGGACAAAUAGUAUGCUAAGAACCUCAAUAGAUUUAUUUAAAAAAAUAUAUGCACCCACUGUUGUCACUUGAGCCACUGCAUAUUAGUCUAUUAUCCUUUCAGUUGCAUCAACAUAGUAUAAUGAGCAUAUCUGCCAACAGCUCUUUGCCGCUGUGUAAAAAAAUAUAUAUAUAUAUGGGCGCUACAAAAUAGUCUAAAUACCACAGCUUCCAUUAGUUCUUGGGUGCUGAAGAAAAGACUACUUUAACACGAAAAAAUCCAUAAUUUUGCUUAUAACAGCAAUAAAAAGCUAUUCGCUUGUCACUUGAAGGUAUAACUGUUCAUGACCCCCCUCAAAUUAUAGAUCCUAACUAUAUCGUGCUAAUGGAUCAGUGGUAGACUGUGGUUAUUGGUUACCUUACAGUUGCUCUUAAAGAAGUCAGUGGUUCCAAAGAUUAGCAUUUUAUAGUAUAUUCACAAUUACUUUAAUAACAUACUGUGUUUCUUUUGUAGGUUUGACUAGUAGACCAUGGGAAGUACCUUAAACAACUUCUUACAUCACCAUACUCAAGUCAUUCAAUCAUGACUGCAUAAGGCACGUCACAUCUAGCCAAAAUCCUAUGGUAUGAAGUUUAUUCUACUACUUGGUAUAGAAGACCAUGGAAAGAACACUCCAGUCACUGUUAGCAUAAGACGUGACAUCUAGCCAAAACCAUAUGAUCCUCACUGACUUGGCACUUUGAAUUUCUGCACUUUCUGUUCCGUGAAGUAAUCCACUGUUUCUGUGAAAUAUAAUUACUUUUUUUCUGUAAAUAAAAUUUUAUUUCAUUUUUA